rnacentral:rRNA from 1 species
GACGAACGCUGGCGGCGUGCUUAACACAUGCAAGUCGAACGGACAGUCCCUGCUUUUGUGGGGUGCUCGAGUGGCGAACGGGUGAGUAACACGUGAGUAACCUGCCCUUGACUUUGGGAUAACUUCAGGAAACUGGGGCUAAUACCGGAUAGGAGCUCCUGCUGCAUGGUGGGGGUUGGAAAGUUUCGGCGGUUGGGGAUGGACUCGCGGCUUAUCAGCUUGUUGGUGGGGUAGUGGCUUACCAAGGCUUUGACGGGUAGCCGGCCUGAGAGGGUGACCGGCCACAUUGGGACUGAGAUACGACGCAGACGCGUACGGGAGGCAGCGGUGGAGAAUAUUGCACAGUGGGCGGAAGCCAGAUGCGACAACGCCGCGUGCGGGAUAACGGCUUUCGAGUUGUAAACCGCUGUCGCCUGUGACGAGGCGUGAGUGACGGUAAUGGGUAAAGAAGCACCGGCUAACUACGUG